AACACACAUUGCGCCCCUUGGUAUUCUGAGGGGUGUGCCUGUUCGAGCCUCAUUACAACCCUCCAGUAUUAAGCUUCGCUGUUCACCCAGCGGGCCUUAAAAUCAGUGGCGGUACUAUCAAGGCCCUGAGCGUAGUAAAUAUCCUCGCUAUAGGGGCCAGGUGGAUGCUGGCCAUUAACCCCCAAUUUUCUAAGUUUGACCUCGGAUCAGGUAGGGAUACCCGCUGAACUUAA
rnacentral:misc_RNA from 1 species